GACAUAAUCCUUAAGAUAGGAAGGAGGAUUAUGCUGUCUUUGAGACUUUCUGGGAGCAGGAAUAGAAGGAGAAGAAGCCAAAACAGGAGGUGAGAUGGCAGGAUUGAAAGGAGAAGGGAAGGUUGAAUCAUUAGGGACAGUCACAGGAAAAGGCAUCUGCACAGAUGUGGGAGAAGACGGAGGACAGAGGUGAAUGGGAGAAUCAAAAUCAUCAUCAUGUUCUCCAGAAGGAACAAAAGGAAAAGAUGAAGCAGGAGGAUGAGCAGAAGGAGACACAGAUUUAAAAGGAAAACAUGAUUCAUGAAAGAUGACAUCCCUGGAGACCAAAUACUUCUUUGAAGCAAGAUCAUAUAAUCUAUAACCCUUUUUGCCAAAAGGAUAUCCCAGGAAAANNNN
rnacentral:lncRNA from 1 species